rnacentral:rRNA from 1 species
CAGCAGCCACGGGAAUACGUAGGGUGCGAGCGUUAAUCGGAAUUACUGGGCGUAAAGCGUGCGCAGGCGGUUUUGUAAGACAGGCGUGAAAUCCCCGGGCUCAACCUGGGAAUGGCGCUUGUGACUGCAAAGCUAGAGUGCGGCAGAGGGGGAUGGAAUUCCGCGUGUAGCAGUGAAAUGCGUAGAUAUGCGGAGGAACACCGAUGGCGAAGGCAAUCCCCUGGGCCUGCACUGACGCUCAUGCACGAAAGCGUGGGGAGCAAACAGGAUUAGAUACCCGAGUAGUCCCUGUCUCUUAUAC